AUUCGGAGGUCUCAAAGUUGGCAAGUAUGUGUGUCAUUCCAUUUCUACAUCUCCAAAAUGGCCGACUGCUCGGAUACGUGCGUUCGAAAAUAACAACAAGAGUGCCCUGAGAAGUGUUUCCAACUCACCGUUGUCCGUGUUGACGUCGCAGACUCCUGCUAAUCGUCCUGCGAGCUCACCUCGAGGCCGGGCGUGCUUAUAAAGGCGCUAAUGCUGACUGACGGCCCGUCAUAUUGGGGUCGCCGCACGUGACGCCGCCGCCAUGACGAUCAGCUCAACGCCAGAAGGGUCCCCGGCUGGUGGAGGCCGCGCCCAAUCCGAAAUUGAGGUGGCGGCCAUAACACCUGCAGAUGUAAAGGAGCCCAAAGGGACACGCGAUGUUCGAGAAGGUGCUUUCUGGCUGGCGGGAUAAAAAAGAACUGAGAGGAACGAAAGCCGGAGAACAAAAACGAGGAGUGGUGGGCGGCUUUAAUGGCAUACAGGUUUCUGGCUCAUCUCUUUGAUGUUUUUAGCUUGGCGUGCUCCUCUGUGGGCAGCGAGAGCAAGUUUGACCUUUAAAAAAAGCUCCAAAUGAUAGCAUGCAGCGUGAGCGCUUUCAAAGUGAAGAGGUGACACUGCUUAUGUAACGUCUACUCCAGUGUGGAGUGUUCCCCGCGUGGGAGGACGCAUGCACCGUCUGGACACAACGUACGCCUGGCGGAGCUGCCCGUGGUGCUGAAACCACCAGAACCGUGAAGACAUUAAAAUACUACUAACCAAUGCCAACAUUGUUAUAAAUAUGUUAUAUUGUUCAUGCCAAAGUUAUUCCUGACUUGUUUUGAAACUGAACAAAGAGCAUUAU